rnacentral:rRNA from 1 species
AUUGAACGCUGGCGGCAGGCUUAACACAUGCAAGUCGAGCGGGGUGAGGUGCUUCGGUACUGAUCCUAGCGGCGGACGGGUGAGUAAUGCUUAGGAAUCUGCCAUUUAGUGGGGGACAACAUUCCGAAAGGAAUGCUAAUACCGCAUACGUCCUACGGGAGAAAGCAGGGGAUCUUCGGACCUUGCGCUAAAUGAUGAGCCUAAGUCGGAUUAGCUAGUUGGUGGGGUAAAGGCCUACCAAGGCGACGAUCUGUAGCGGGUCUGAGAGGAUGAUCCGCCACACUGGGACUGGUACACGGCCCAGACUCCUACGGGAGGCAGCAGUGGGGAAUAUUGGACAAUGGGCGGAAGCCUGAUCCAGCCAUGCCGCGUGUGUGAAGAAGGCCUUUUGGUUGUAAAGCACUUUAAGCGAGGAGGAGGCUACCUGGAUUAAUACUCUGGGAUAGUGGACGUUACUCGCAGAAUAAGCACCGGCUAACUCUGUGCCAGCAGCCGCGGUAA